rnacentral:rRNA from 1 species
CAGUAGCCGCGGUAAUACGAAGGGGGCUAGCGUUGUUCGGAAUUACUGGGCGUAAAGCGCACGUAGGCUGACAUUUAAGUCAGGGGUGAAAUCCCGGGGCUCAACCUCGGAACUGCCUUUGAUACUGGGUGUCUUGAGUGUGGAAGAGGUAAGUGGAAUUGCGAGUGUAGAGGUGAAAUUCGUAGAUAUUCGCAGGAACACCAGUGGCGAAGGCGGCUUACUGGUCCACAACUGACGCUGAGGUGCGAAAGCGUGGGGAGCAAACAGGAUUAGAUACCCCCGUAGUCCCUGUCUCUUAUAC